GUAGGGUGCAUGCGUUGUCCGGAAUUAUUGGGCGUAAAGAGCUCGUAGGCGGUCUGUCGCGUCGGCUGUGAAAACUCGGGGCUCAACCCCGAGCCUGCAGUCGAUACGGGCAGACUAGAGUGCGGUAGGGGAGACUGGAAUUCCUGGUGUAGCGGUGAAAUGCGCAGAUAUCAGGAGGAACACCGGUGGCGAAGGCGGGUCUCUGGGCCGUAACUGACGCUGAGGAGCGAAAGCGUGGGGAGCAAACAGGAUUAGAUACCCUGGUAGUCCACGCCGUAAACGGUGGGUGCUAGGUGUAGGCGGUAUUCCACGCCGUCUGUGCCGCAGCUAACGCAUUAAGCACCCCGCCUGGGGAGUACGGCCGCAAGGCUA
rnacentral:rRNA from 1 species